GAUGAACGCUAGCGGCAGGCCUAAUACAUGCAAGUCGGACGGGAUCCAUCGGAGAGCUUGCUCGAAGAUGGUGAGAGUGGCGCACGGGUGCGUAACGCGUGAGCAACCUACCUCUAUCAGGGGGAUAGCCUCUCGAAAGAGAGAUUAACACCGCAUAAUAUAAUCUUCCGGCAUCGUUAGAUUAUUAAAUAUUUCUAGGAUAGAGAUGGGCUCGAGUGACAUUAGCUAGUUGGUAAGGUAACGGCUUACCAAGGCGACGAUGUCUAGGGGCUCUAAGAGGGAAAUCCACCACACUGGUACUGAGACAAGGACCAGACUCAUACGGGAGGCAGGAGUAAGGAAUAUUGGUCAAUGGGCGGAAGCCUGAACCAGACAUGCCGCGUGCAGGACGACAGCCCUAUGGGUUGUAAACUGCUUUUGUCCAGGAAUAAACCUAAAUCCGUGUAUUUAGCUGAAUGUACUGGAAGAAUAAGGAUCGGCUAACUCCGUGCCAGCCGCCGCCGUAAAAC
rnacentral:rRNA from 1 species